rnacentral:rRNA from 1 species
AGUGAACGCUGGCGGUAGGCCUAACACAUGCAAGUCGAACGGCAGCACAGUAAGAGCUUGCUCUUACGGGUGGCGAGUGGCGGACGGGUGAGGAAUACAUCGGAAUCUACUUUUUCGUGGGGGAUAACGUAGGGAAACUUACGCUAAUACCGCAUACGACCUACGGGUGAAAGCAGGGGAUCUUCGGACCUUGCGCGAUUGAAUGAGCCGAUGUCGGAUUAGCUAGUUGGCGGGGUAAAGGCCCACCAAGGCGACGAUCCGUAGCUGGUCUGAGAGGAUGAUCAGCCACCCUGGAACUGAGACACGGUCCAGAGUCCUACGGGAGGCAGCAGUGUGGUAUGUUAGGCAAUGGGGGGGAGCCUGAUACAGCCAUACCGCGUGGGUUAAGGAGGCCUCGGGUUUGGAAAGCCCUUCUGCUGGGUAAGAAAAGCAGUAGGUUAAUACCCCGCUGUUCUGACGGUACCGAAAGAAUAAGCACCGGCUAACUUCGUG